CCGAUAUGUCACACUUUGUUUCAGACUGUAGUAAUAUGCUAUGUUCACUACUGACAGUAACCUCAACUGUCUUUCAUUUAAAAGUUCCAUUACUUUCACACGUUAGUGGAGACUUUGUCGAUAGUUUUCAUUGAGCAUAAAAGAAUAAUGACCAUAUAAAAAGUACACGUUCGAGAUUAAAGAGGACCCAUAAAGACUCGAUAAUUGUUACGUUGUUUUCCGGAUCCGUCCGUUUGUUGUAACUAGUAGUAUAGAUGAUUUUAAUGUUCAAAAACAAGGAUAUAAUUUUUGUAAUUUAUUUUUAUACAUUGUAUAUUGUUGAUAUAAAUAUUGUGAGUCAUAUUGCGAUUGUAUUUAUUGAAGAAAUAAUGCAAAAAAUGGUUUUUUUUUAAUUUAAACAAAACCCGAUUUAUCAUGUUGUUUAUAUAUGCAGCAAAUAAAAAAGAUUUCAGUUUUCAUAUAUCAUCAAGGUACAUGUAGAUUGAAUGAAAAAAUAAAAGUUCUCGAUGUUUCCUGAUCAUAAUUAUCUAAAAAAAAAUUAAAAUUAAAAUAGGAUGUUAAUUCGCCUUUUUCAAAAUUCAAAUAUAAUCACUGUUCAAAAAAAUUUCGAAUUGUACAUGUACAAUUUCUUAUCAGUUUACUAAAAAAUGCACUGAAUAUUUCACACGGAGAUAAAUUGUAAACCUGAAAGAUCAAAGCUGACGGAUUUAUCAAUUACACAGCGUUGUAAAGUGGAAUAACUUCAAUAGACAGAACAUCAAGCGUUGUAAAGUGGAAUAACUUCAAAAGACAGAACAUCAAAUAAUAGAGGUGUCCCGUACGUACUAAAUCAGUCAUACCGUUCUCUUAAGUUUUCUGCGUUUUCUUAUCCUAGCAUCAAAUAAAUGUAUUGUCAAUUCACAACGCUACUGUACUCCUUUCUGCCAAUUCUAGAUUUUACAGACUGUUGUUAUAUUUUGUACAAUAUUCUUGUUAUUGAUAUGAGUACUUCAAACUCUUAAAAUUGAUAAAUUAAAGAAUUUU
rnacentral:misc_RNA from 1 species